rnacentral:tRNA from 1 species
GCCGGUGUAGCUCAGUUGGUAGAGCAGCUGAUUCGUAAUCAGCAGGUCGGUGGUUCGAGUCCACUCGCCGGCACCA